rnacentral:lncRNA from 10 species
AUUCUCUGAAUUGUCACCUCCCCACCCUGCAGGAGGUGACUGGAGCCAACUAUUGGAGGAUCUGUGAAAUUACAGUUUUCAGCUUUGGCCUUGGCUGUGCAAUUCUGGGACAAUGGGAAAAUUUUCACUAAGCAUCAGUGCCUGGCAGAUAGUUAUAGUUAGUGCUCAGUAAAUGCUAACUGACAUUCUUGCUCACAACUCAACCCAAAUAGUCCUAUGUUUAGAAGCAAGGCAGAAGAUCAGAGUAGACCAAGAGCAGGGCUGAGGACGACAAGCCCUGGGACUCCCUUCAGUUCUUCCAGGCCAGGAAUGUGCUUGUUCUCCAAGCCCGGGUUCAGCGUGAGUUCACGCGAGAGCAGGACAAAGGCCUGAUGCAGACAAACGAGGUAAACUUGGAAGCCAUAAGGUUGAAGACGGCGGAGCUAAAACAAGAAAGGAGGCUGGAUCCCUGAGUCACCUUGUGGAAGGCUGCCUGCCUACCAGGAAUGCUACAUUUAACAUGGGGUAUGACUUAUGUGGGUCCUCUCCUUGGGUCUCACAAGGCUGACAUGUGAGUGAGAAACAGAUUUUUAUUGUGUUAAGACAUUGAAGGUAUGGGAUAUGUUUCUUACAUCAGUUGAUAUCGCCUUAACCAAUAUACCAGUUUGCACUGUGAAUGAGAAAAUGAGUCUGCAUCCACAAUGUCCAUGCUUUAAGAGCUUCUAGGAGUUUUAGGAGUUUAUUUGCCAUGCUCUAUAAAGUCUGCACAAUGUUUUAAUUCCACUUCACAGAAAGGUUUUCUUUCCAAACCCUCUUCAGGGGCCUUCCCUAUUAAAAAAGCCCAUUUAUAGAAACUACUACUUAGCAUUUUUGGAACUUGUUAUCCUAUUCAGCAGAGUCUAAGUCAGGAGGCUUUGAACUCGGACAAUUACUGCUCUUGAUUAACAACAAGAACUGAUGAGUUGGCCUUUCUAGUGUGCUAAGCAAACUCAGCCAAGCAGAAAAUAUCACUGAAGGGGAAACAACGGGAAGUGAUUUUCUUGGUUGCAUUAUGCGCCGUCGCGAUAUUUACACAUGUUUGUGGAUAAUGUGGGAACCUCUGCUGCUUGCAUGCCCUUCCAGAUGACACCACUGGGCUUGAAACGCCAUGUUUCCCACCUGACCUGGGCUGUAAAUGUCAUCCUGUGACUGCAGGCAGCCAGCCCCAGGGAAAAACCACAGCACUGGGAGUGGUCAGGCCCCUUGCAGGAUCCCCACUCCAACCCUUUCAAGUUCUAGCCCCUCCAGGUACCCUGGGGCCAGCACCUAGGCCUAGAGAUUUGUUUGUUUGUUUGUUUUUUAGAGAUAGGGUCUUGCUAUGUUGCCCUGGCUGAUCUGAAACUCUGGGCCUCAAGCAGUCCACUCACCUUAGCCUCCUGAGUAGCUGGGAUCACAGGCAUGAACCACCCAACCCAGCUGGGGUUAGAGAGUAACAGCAGCCUUGGCCUCAUAUUGUAAGACAGCUCAGUGGCCGGAUAGAUGGGUGUUCAUUUCUUCUCGCCCUCGCCAGCACUAGGUGUUUUUAAAAAAUGAUUUUUGUGAAGUCAAAUAGUGUUUUCAGUGUCGGAUUGAACAUUGUGCUCAUUUAUGAGUGUUCUGUGGAUACCUUUACCCAUGUCUCUAUUGAGGGUGGUAGGAUUUUUCAUAAAAUUGCAUGCACAUUUUUCAUGUAUUAAAGGCAUUAUGCCUUUUCACAUUCUUUAGAUUUUUCCAACUUCUUUAUCUUUGUAUUUUGUUAAAUGUUUUUGGAUACAUAAAACUAAAAAAAGAAAAUCAUAAGAUUAAAUAUUUCAAUCUUGUCCUUUGAGACUUUUCCAUCUUUUUAAGCUUAUAAAGUCAUAUUUCAUAUGGAAGUUUGAAAUAUAUUCAUCUAUAACCCCAUUCAUUCUAUUUAAAACUUUUUAAAGAAACUCUUGGCUCCACUAGGAAUUUUUUUGGAUGGAAGGUAUGAGGUAAGGAUCUUCCUGGGGGCCACAUUUGGGAGUUCAGAUCUGAGGGGCAGAAGCCUCUGGCUUUGGACAAACAGGGGCAGGUGUCACUGGGGUUAGGGGUGGCAUAGCACGGGCAGAGGUAGUGUUGAUGGGUGAAGAGCAGGUCCCAGCUGGGACUGCUCUCAGGAUCUGGGGGUCUCCUUCUUCUCAAAUGGUGUCAUGGACUAAAUUGUGUCACCCCCACAUUUAUAUGUUGAAGUCCUAACCCUCAGUACCUUAGAAUGUGACUGUAUUUGGAGACUGGGUCUUUGAGAGGUAAUGAAGUUAAAAUGAGGUCUUUAGGGUGGGCCCUAAUCCAGGGUGACUGAUGCCUGUGUAAGAAGAGAUUAGGACACAGACGCAUCCAGAGGGAAGGAGGUGUGAAGACACAGAGAGAAGGCUGAGAAGUAACCAACCCUGCCUGACACCUUCAUCUUGGACUUCCAGCCCCAGAAUUUCGAGAAAAUAAAUUGUUUCGGC